ACAGAAUUUACCACUGCAAACUUUUCUGACUCUGGACAACUGCACCACCACGGUUGUGCCAGAGCAGGCCAAAGAACAAGAGGUUAUGGACGUGAGGAUACUUUCAUAUAUCUAGAACAGAUAUUGCCAUUUGAUCCUCAACAUUAACAAAAUUAUGUUUGACUAGAAGAUUACAAAAUGGAAAGCUAAUAUUAUUUCCAGUUAAACAAAAGCACUGCAACCUCAGCAAAAUCAUGCUGUUGUCUAUGCGGUUUCGGUUACAAGAUACGUUUUCUACAUCAGAAAGCUGGUGCUUCAUUAACAUUCAUAAUGCCAAAUUUUUAAAGACAGCCAACUGAGUGUCAAAGAAAACUUUGACACACGUUUUUGCAGCUGUAUUCUGUCUCAGUAUUUGUGUCACACUUUGAUGGUGCCUUCUGCCAGAUAGGGCUAGAAGUGGCACACUGGCAUGGUCUCUUUUAUUCACUGCAGCUGAAGAACAGAAUAGUGAGACCUUCUGCCCUUCCUUAAAUCAGCAAAAAAGCCCUUGAAAUCUUGCUGAGCAGGCAGUCUCUUAUUGCAGAGCUUGUUUAAAUUAGCCAGCUGAGAAUCCAAGCUCUGAUCCCAUUAUAACUUGAAACAUAUAGUUUCUGUGACUUUAUUUUAUUUCUAUUAUUUUUAAACAGAUACAAAUGAAUUGCAGUCACAGAGUAUGCACAGGAGAACUACAGCAUGUACUCACGGGCAUUCAAAUUAUAACCAUGAAAAAAGAAUGAUCAACCACACAUCCAGCUCAACAGUAUAUACAUAGAGCUGCCAACAGUGAAGUAUAUUCAUUAAAGCUGGUUGGGAAUAUACAUAAUACAGAAAUCAUAUCACUAUCAAAAGAGGAAUUUCUGUUUAUUUAUUUAUUAACUUACAGAAAUAACCACUGUAAUAGAGAAGGAAUACUAAUAAAGUUCCAGAAUCCUGAUGUGUCUAAGAAGGUGCCAAAACCAUCCAGCUGUCCCAGUCUUCUGAAAUAACUCUACUAAAUAAAUUCAGACCUUUUGCCAUAUAGAAAAAUAAGGAUUUUCAUUUUUAUUGCAAAUUUCUUUGAGACAUCUCUUCAGAGUCAGUUUUGUCUGAAAUUCUGCAAGUACACAAUAUCAAGACCCUCUUUUGGCUGGUAAAUAUAUCACACUUGGAUUCCUUUUCACAUGAACCUUGCUGACAUUUUCUCCCUUUUGUAUCUUAUACAUCUGACCAGAAAAUAAUAAAUUAUUUGUAAUUUAUAACUUCAUUUAACAGUAGUUCAUAGUUUAAUGUGUUGGAAUGUAACACGUGAUGAUUGGGCAGAGUCCAGCACAAAAAUAAUUUGGUGGUCUUUUUUCAGAAUUUUUUAAUAGUCCACGAACCCCCAGAGAAGCGGGACAUCUGUUGGAGUACUCUUUCAGUACACAUCUCAAGUGGCCAGCUAACCUGCUGGGGAAUGGAUCAUCCUGCAGAGGGUGAAUCAUGAGCUCACAGAUGAAAGUCACCCAAGAUGACAUCCCAGAUACUAUUGGCAAACAUCAUACAUGCCGAAAUCAAAGAUGAAGCUGUCAAACAGUAAGAGUGGAUGCUGCAGGGAUAGACAACAACAUCAUGUUAAAGAAAACGCUCUCAGAAGCCUUCAGGGGAAGUCACUGCACAAAGUGGAAAGUGUGUUUAAAAAAGAGAGAGAAAAAUUAAAGUAUAUAAGCCAACUCAAGGUAUCUUGAGGUACCAGUAGUGUUUUGUAGAACGUUCGACUCCUGGGAUGCAUAUGUGGAAUGGGAGAUUUGGACUUUAUCUGGAUAUUCUACUGGCUAUUCAGAAGAUGGCCCUGAGAGAGGUGUUGACUCUACUUCUCUUCUGAAGUUGGGUUAUUGCAAAAAGGUAAAUAGCAAGAUUCUCAAGAGCAAAAAUAGAAUAAGACUGAUUCUGUAGUCUGGUGUCUAAAGGUGAAAACCACAUUCUUGUCUAUUCCAGUUUUGCAGCUCGUCUAUUUGUCCUUGAUUAAACCUGCAUUUGUUUCCCACACUGAAAAUGUAUAUUUUAGCAUGGUCACAUCUAAGAAAGUUGCAAUUUUAAAGUAAUGAAUAGCAUUAUACUUCAGUCUUUCUUCACUGUUAUAGCCCAUGGUGUAAAUCUGCACUAUGAACUUGGCCAAUCUGUUAUACACAAGACAGUUGGGCUUUGUUGGCUUUUUAUUCAACUGUAGCUUUGCCCCAAGCAUAGAACUGUUACACUGCUGCCCCAGACUGUAACAUGAAAGAUUAAGAAUCUACAAUCUGCCUGCUUGCUGUACCCUACUCUGAAUAAUUACCAGGCCAGUAGCUCAGGCUGUUUUCACCCCAAACAUAUGGACUAGAGCCAAGAGCCUGUUCCUGUCACAUUGCUUAUCUCACUGUUCUGCUGUUUCCAUAGUUGGAAAAGAAAGAAGAUGAGUGAGAAUAUUGCUUCUCUCCAUAUAAUCUGACUCACAGCCAGAUUAAACUGCAUUUUAAUCAAUUUGUUUAUGAUGGUUUGAAUAAAUUCAGUAUGAAAUGUAUUUCAUUUAUUGCAAAUAAAUUAUUAAUAUUUUUAAUGUUUCAAAGAUAACACUUUGAAAGCUCUUAAUAUUUUGGUGACAUUAAGUAAGGAUGUCAUGGAAGACCAUCUGCUGUUAGGGCCUAGAAUCCAGAUAUAAAAUCUUGAAUGUUAUUUUGCUAGUGCCACAGACUUCUUUGUUCUCAGCAAGCUACUUGUUUUGUUGUUUAGGAAGAUUAUUAGCAGAUUUUUUUCCUUUCUAAAACACAACAGCUUUUUCCAGUGUUAAUCACCUGAUUGGAUAUCUGAAUUCCAUUGAUACAGCCUGGAGGUAUUUGGCUUUCAAGGAGUGAAUGUGUAAAUGGCAAAAUUUUAACAUUCAUCCUUUGACAAAAGUACCUCCUUCGCAGCAGGUAUAUCACUCAAAGUAAGCCUAUGGUUAUAUGUAAACUAUUAAUCCCUCAGGAAAUAUUCUCUCUUUUUUUUGCAGUAGUCAGUACUGCCUCAAUUUAAUAUGUUCUAUAUUUUUAGUUAAUAACAAAACAGAAUAAAGGUAAUUUUUUUAUGUUCUAUGCUUUGAGUUAAAAGCAGGCUUCUUUAUACUUACGCUAAGAUUACCUCAGAAAGUAAAAAUAAAAAUAAGGCUAUUACUUCAAAGAAGAGUCAGCUUUAAAAUGUAUUUAAAGUUACAAAUGGCACAAGUAUGAAUAAACUGUUGACUUUAU
rnacentral:lncRNA from 7 species